UCCAGUUUCUUGAUAUAGUCAAUAUGUUUACAUCCACCUUGCUGAACAUGGUGGACGAGAUACAGGUACUUCACUGUCUAUAAUUCUCUCUCUUACCCCUUUUGAUUUUGCCAUUAAACAUCACCUAGUCAAUUCUUCAGCUUUAAAAAAGCUAGUUAAGCUGAAAUGACUAAUCUGAUGGAUAUGCUCAGUCCCUCAAGAGGUAAAUCAGCUGAAAGAGCCUAUUCUAUUCCUUUAGAAAUUGAAGGUUCACGUCACCCAUAAAAUCAAGAUGUUCAAUGUAGAAGAUCAAAGUUUAGGGGCUCUGACCUAGUACAUCCUAUAUGCAUUUCAGAUCAACUUAGCCCGAAAAUAAGCAUGGUGUUGACAAGAUAGAAGUGUAAUUCUAAUGUGAUCAAGAUUAAAAUAAGGUGCCUGGUUAUGGUCAAAUUAAGACACGGGAACAGAAUAUAUGACUGCAUAAAACAGAAAAU
rnacentral:lncRNA from 1 species